GCUCAUCUGAGAUAGCUCAGCUGGUAGAGCAGGAGAUGCUUAGUCAUGGGUUCGAGUCCCACAUUGGGCA